rnacentral:rRNA from 1 species
UACGAAGGGUGCAAGCGUUACUCGGAAUUACUGGGCGUAAAGCGUGCGUAGGUGGUGAGUUAAGUCUGUCGUGAAAGCCCCGGGCUCAACCUGGGAAUAGCGAUGGAUACUGGCUCGCUAGAGUGCGGUAGAGGAGAGUGGAAUUCCCGGUGUAGCAGUGAAAUGCGUAGAGAUCGGGAGGAACAUCAGUUGCGAAGGCGGCUCUCUGGACCAGCACUGACACUGAGGCACGAAAGCGUGGGGAGCAAACAGG